GGGCCGGUAGAUCAGCCUGGUAUGAGCGCUAAGGCGCUACUAAAUCGUCCGCUUGGCAUGCGGGAGGUCGCGGGUUCAAAUCCCGCCCGGUCCACCA
rnacentral:tRNA from 1 species